UACGUAGGUGGCGAGCGUUGUCCGGAUUUACUGGGCGUAAAGAGCGCGCAGGCGGUCGAUCAAGUCGGAUGUGAAAGCCCCCGGCUCAACUGGGGAGGGUCAUUCGAUACUGGUCGACUCGAAGGCAGGAGAGGGAAGCGGAAUUCCCGGUGUAGUGGUGAAAUGCGUAGAUAUCAGGAGGAACACCGGUGGCGAAGGCGGUUCUCUGGGCCUUACCUGACGCUGAGGAGCGAAAGCGUGGGGAGCGAACAGG
rnacentral:rRNA from 1 species